CCUCUGUGAAAUAAAAACACAAAAAAAAGCGGGGAAUUUUAACAAGCGGGUGUGUGGUCGGGAAAACCUGAUUAAAAGAGGGGGAAGGGGAAGACCAAUCACUACUGAUGGGUCUUCCCUGUAGGGGGGAGGAAGCAGUAGGACCCAGCAGAGUCAGACCACGUGCUGUCUGCAUCGUGGAGGGUGAAGGUUGUCGGCAUGGUGCUGUGCCUGGAACUCUGGUCCAAAUGGGACAUAUUUAAAUCUUUUGACGCCAAUUUGAAUGCAUCUUUCACCCUCAACUCCACUGCUGCUUGGCACAUGCAGAGCAAAAACAAACAAAAGAGAAAAGGAGAAAGGUGCUGACAUCAGACACUUGCCUUUGACCUGUUAUGCUGCUGCAAGUAAGAAUUUCAUUCUUCCAUUUAAGGUACAUAUGACUAUUAACCAUUCUUGAGUCUUGACUCUUGCUCCACUUGGUGAAUAAGCAAACCACGAUCGCCAGACACAAUGUCACGGCAUUGAAACUAACGAGUGCCAAGUGGACAGAGGAAAAGAUUCAAGGAUGCUGUCCAAGCUUUCUUAAACACUUUAACAAAUCCACCAACUGAUAGUAAUCAAAUCCCUAAACCGUGGCUGCACUAAAUGAGGAAUUCAGUCCAAAUGCAUGGAGAAGCUACCGACAACCGACGACCCAUUACGACCACACAGGCGACAACCUACGACAACCGAAGUCAACCUAUGUCCACCCACGACAAGCUACGACCCUGUCGG